rnacentral:tRNA from 1 species
GGUGGGUUGGCUCAGUGGUUAGAGCGUAGGUCUCGUAACCUAAAGGUUGCGGGAUGGAAUCCUGCUAGAGGCUG